rnacentral:rRNA from 1 species
CAAUUAAUAACUUUCUUUAUUUUAAAAAUUAAAUUUAAUUUUUUUGUGAGGAAGCAAAAAUAUAAAUUAGGGACAAGAAGACCCUAUGAAUUUUUUAAUUAAUAUUUAUGUUAAUUGUUAAUUUAAUAUUAAUUUUGUUGGGGCGACAGAAAAAGAAUAAUUAUCUUUUACUAAUAAGUUAAUUUGGAUCCAUUAUUUAGUGAUUUAAUGAGAAAAAUACUCUAGGGAUAACAGCGUAAUAAUUUUGGAUAGUUCUUAUAGAUAAAAUAGUUUGCGACCUCG